UAUUGUAGAAGCCAGUCAGCAUGCAAGCCGAAAUAGACAGAUACGCAAGUAGCACGUAAGAUGCAUCAGGAUGGUCUUUUCAUUUCGGGUACACCUGUCCUAGACAGACCCAACCUCUGUGUUGAGUCUCCAAAGUCAAAUGCACACGAUGCAAACAAACGUUCCUACUAGGGAUCCGGCAUGAGGCUGAGUUAUUCUAGGUUCAAAACCUAGGUAUGUGUUUUAGAUUGUGUACCCGAGCGGACAACUCGAGCCGAGGAGGGGGCUACGUACCGGGAACCAAAAGGCCAUCUGGCUUAGUAACUUGUCCGAGCCUUUUUCCUGUUUCAAGGUAUGACACUAACAGAAUAAGGAGUCUUGACCAGCGAGCACAUCCUCGAAGAUGAGAAAAGAAGGGUUUUGUAACCGUUUAUGUACAGUUCAGAUAAUACCAAAGCGGUAAAAGCAACAUUUAGCACAUUAGGCCAAAACAUGUAAUAAAAUUAGGUAACAGAUAAAACCAAAUAUAACAAUUCAUCUAAGCUCAAAUUCUGAAUCCUGAACCAGAGAUUUUGGGUUCUUAUCCCCAGCAGAGUCGCCAGAGCUGUCACAUCUCCUUUUUACCUACACCCCGGAAGGGAGGGUAUAUAAGGGAGUUUGUUCCAAUUUAAGUGACAAUCGAAACGGGAUUUAUUAUUAAAAUUCAGAGUCGCCACUUGGGAUAAUUUAUGGUGUCCCAAGUCACCGGUUCAAAUCCCGAAUCGAGGAAGAGAUUGACUCUGUAUUGCAGUCCGCGAACCAUAAAUUCGAGUAAGGAAUUAUGUUAACCCGAGAGAAGGUGUUAGGCAUUCCCGAGUUCCGUGGUUCUAGCACGGUCGCUCAACUGUUAUUAUUUGAUUUUAAAACACUUUGAAACCUAUGUGCAUAUUUUAACUUUAUAACCGCUUUAAUUAUUUUUAAGGAAAAUUGCAACGUUGUUUAAAAUACGUCUCGAACCACGUCACAUAAAUGCACCCGCGGCUCUCGACAUUUUUUAUUUAACGUUGUUGAGAUUUGGAUUUGGGUCACAUAAAUGUACACCCGAAUUUUGGAAUUAGGCAUUGUAACUAUGUCACGGGAACUGUACCCAUAGUCAUGAUGGUUUAUUAAUCGCGCUUAAAGCAUUUCUAGGAAUAUUUGAUUAAGGCGUAACUUUGAAGUGUACCUGAAGUUGUGGUGAUGACUCUAAACUAUUCUACAUUACGUAGCUAGGUGUAAAGGUUCAAUGCUACACGAGAUACUUAUUUGAAGUAGAUGUGGCAACAAUACAGUUGGGUUAAUCAAUCUGAAAUGCAUACCGGACUCUAGAAUUCUCAAAUCAAGAGCAAGAGAAUUUCAUGAAAAUCUUCAAAUAUGUUCAAGCAACAAUUAUUCUACUAAAAUGUCAUAAUACACUUCUCUUCCAUAAAAGAAGGCAGAGUGCAACUAAUCGUUUUAUGGGUACGACUUAGUUUUUAUUCAAUAGCAAAUAUAAUUGUUUCAAUUUUAAAAGAAAUUAAAUCAAUGGCAUUUGUCCAGCUAUCAAAUUUCGGAGUAAAAGUUGACUAAAUCAAUGAAAACAAACUGAACAAAAACUCCUUUUGACUCUCUGAAUAGUUAAUUAAGUAAACAAACAAUAAAAAAUGCAACUCGAAACAUAACCGAGAUAUUUACUUAAACUUUCUUGCAAAAAAGAUGGGGACAAUUUACUUGUUUGCAACACCAAACCGUUGCUGCAAUGUCCAGCAAACUCACAAAUUAACAUGAGUUCUAAUAAAUUAAACUAGAGACCAACUCAAUGACUAUAGACCUACGACCUUUACUUAAGAGACAGAAGCAAAUAAAUUGAACUAUUAAACUAAAAGGAAAUAGCUAAACAACUAAUCAAAAGCAAACGACUACAGUAUUCAACUAAACAAUUGUAAAAGAAAGAUCGAGAGCGAACUAUUAAAUUAACUCGAUGGCUAACAGGCUAGGUCUAGAAAAUCAUACUCAAACAUAUGACGAACAAUUCAUGUUUUUCGUUUAAGAAUUCAAAAACAAUUCAUGGAUGAGUGUAACAUACCUAAUAGCAGGGAAAUUACAGGAAACAACUCGACUUCAAUUUCGAAUUAAAGAACCAACUCGAAAUCCAGUGAAAUGACAGAGAAAGCUCCCUUGAGUCGACAUGAACAACAAAAAAAAAACUUUCCUUUUUUUGAGCUGUUUGAGUGUAAAAAUCUGUUUAUAUCUCUACUUUUUGUUUAUUUUGUUUUGGGAUUUUUGGUUUGUUGUAGAUCUGAAGUUCAAAAAAUGAAAACCAUAACUUGAUUUCAGCUUUUGGAGUGACAUCCGUGAGAGAGAAAAUGAGAAUAGGAGAAUGAGGGGAGAGGCUUUUUUCUUUAGAUUCCAAAGAUGGGUAGCUGCUCGUUCUCCUUUUGUUGUUGGAGACGAUGGCCUCCUCUUUUGUGUCUGUGGUCUUUUAGAAAAUGAAGAAGGAGAACCGAAGGGAAGGAUCGCCGUUUCUCUUUUUAGUGUAG
rnacentral:lncRNA from 1 species